rnacentral:rRNA from 1 species
GACGAACGCUGGCGGCGUGCUUAACACAUGCAAGUCGAACGAUGAAGAAGAGCUUGCUCUUCGGAUUAGUGGCGAACGGGUGAGUAACACGUGACUAACCUGCCCCUUUCUCUGGGAUAACGCUCCGAAAGGAGUGCUAAUACCGGAUACUCACAUCGAGGCACAUGCCUUGAUGUGGAAAGUUUUUCGGAAAGGGAUGGAGUCGCGGCCUAUCAGCUUGUUGGUGAGGUAACGGCUCACCAAGGCGACGACGGGUAGCCGGCCUGAGAGGGGGACCGGCCACACUGGGACUGAGACACGGCCCAGACUCCUACGGGAGGCAGCAGUGGGGAAUAUUGCACAAUGGGCGAAAGCCUGAUGCAGCGACGCCGCGUGAGGGAUGAAGGUCUUCGGAUUGUAAACCUCUUUCAGUAGGGACGAAGCGAAAGUGACGGUACCUAAAGAAGAAGCACCGGCAAACUACGUGCCAGCCGCCGCCGUAA